AACAGAUAUUAUCAUUUUCUAUAUAAUAAUUAUUCUAAAAAAAAUGUUAUUCAAUAUGAUGUCCCGCUUUGAUGAUUUUAAAGUCUGGGAACCCUAUACGAGGAGGCUAGCCUUCAGAAGUUACCUAACUGGUAUUGAAUCGAAGUGGAUUGUAUAUAAAUACUAUUUACAUUAUUUACAACAAUUAAUAAUCUUAGUGACUUAACCGAAUAUUUAAAGGAUGUGUAAAUUCAACUGGAAAUGAUUAGAUUUAUACUAAAUCUUUACUGAGUUUAUUCGACUUGAAUAUUGCAAUGAAAGAAAAAAUGAAACGAGGUUAGUAGUUAUAAACUUAUAACUAAAUUCAACUCCACAUUAAGUUCAGAUCGUAAUUGUACAUUCACUACACAUUUUUUUUUACAUAAUUUGAGACGGUGGUAGUAACGUAUUAUAGGUACUGUGUGAUAAUAGAUUAAAUGAUUUAAUGAUAAUAGCCAAGAAAGAUAUUGAUAAUAGUAAUACUGAUAGCACAGUAGCAUUAGCUACUUCCUAGAGCACUGUACUUGUUAUUAUAUGAAAAAAAUUUAAGUUUUAAACCAUUCUAAAAUUUAUAUUUGCAUUGAGUGAUGAAUAAUAUUAUUCUAACUCUUACCAGUAUAGCACCAUUAUAACUUAGUAUGUGAAUGAUUUUCAUGUUAACUAAAAUCAUAAUUUUAAGAUUCCCGUCAUCACUGAAAGCAGAUACUUAACGAUUACAUGGUUCAUCACAAGCAAUAAUAUGUUCCUCAAAACUACAAAAUAUUUGUUUCUUAUCCCUGGAAAAUCACUAAUACGUUUGGAAGAAUGUAAAUAGAACACUGGUAUGGGGAUCCAAGAUCAAAAACAUCAAUAGUUGUCUAUUUCAUAAUAUAAAAAAGAACUACAAUCAUGCCAAGUAUCAAAUUGUGAUACAAGAUGUGUUCAUUAUGAGAGAAUUCCCCCAAUUACUAUGGAUUUAAUUUAUAUUGUUUACCUCCUCAUUAAUUAUAAUAAUAAUUAAAUUUAUACAUAUAUUUAUAUUAUUUUUAACAAUAUUUAAUUUUAAAGAUUAUACAUUCUAAUUAUGUUAUUUAUAGGAAACACAUUUUAUAAUUAUUUCUUGGCAGGUCAAACAUUUAGUAAAUA